rnacentral:ncRNA from 2 species
GGUCAUGAGUGCCAGCGUCAAGCCCCGGCUCGCUGGCCGGCAACCCUCCAACCGCGGUGGGGUGCCCCGGGUGAAGAGACCAGGUUGAGUGUCCGAGAAACGGACACCGGCAAGCGCGGGUC